UACGUAGGGUGCGAGCGUUGUCCGGAAUUAUUGGGCGUAAAGAGCUCGUAGGCGGUGUGUCACGUCGGCCGUGAAAACCUGCAGCUUAACUGUGGGCGUGCGGUCGAUACGGGCAGACUGGAGUACUGCAGGGGAGACUGGAAUUCCUGGUGUAGCGGUGGAAUGCGCAGAUAUCAGGAGGAACACCGAUGGCGAAGGCAGGUCUCUGGGCCACUACUGACGCUGGAGAAGCGAAAGCGUGGGGAGCGAACAGG
rnacentral:rRNA from 1 species